GAUGAACGCUGGCGGCGUGCCUAAUACAUGCAAGUCGAACGCCGAAGGAGGAGCUUGCUCUUCUGGAUGAGUUGCGAACGGGUGAGUAACGCGUAGGUAACCUGCCUGGUAGCGGGGGAUAACUAUCGGAAACGAUAGCUAAUACCGAAUCACUCCAGUUAUUGCAUGAUAACUGUUUAAAAGGGGCAACUGCUCCACUACCAGAUGGACCUGCGUUGUAUUAGCUAGUUGGUGAGGUAACGGCUCACCAAGGCGACGAUACAUAGCCGACCUGAGCGGGUGAUCGGGCACACUUGGACUGAGACACGGCCCAGGCUCCUACGGGAGGGAGCAGUAGGGAAUCUUCGGCAAUGGACGGAAGUCUGACCGAGCAACGCCGCGGGAGUGAAGAAGGUGUUCGGAUCGUAAAGCUCUGUUGUAAGAGAAGGACGAGUGUGAGAGUGGAAAGUUCACAAGGUGACGGUAUCUUACCAAAAAGGAACGGCUAACUACGUG
rnacentral:rRNA from 1 species